rnacentral:lncRNA from 1 species
CGUUACCAUGUCCGAACCGACCACUUUUCCCAAAAAGUUUUAACGUAACGUAGCAUAUGAACUGGCUAUAAGACUUCAAAGUAAUGUUAUGAAAACGAUAAAGUUCUGUCUGCGGCUCUGGUGCCAACGGGGCCUUCAGGUCUGAUGCCUGUGGCUUCAGCGCCGACGGGGCAUGCAAGUCUUUCGUGGGCAGCUGCAGCGCCGACGAUGUGGGCUACUCAUGAGCAGGUCCAGCGUGCGACGGUGGCAGCUCAAAUGUCAGCAGGGCAGGCGGGUCUGAUGAGGGCGGGUACAUAAGCGAUACAUGAUGCUGCAGCAGGUGUACAAGGCGCCUAGGCGCUCGAUUGACUAGAAUAGCAAGGAUAGUGCGGAGGAAUCAGGACCUUUUGCAGAGUUGUCGAUGUUGGGGUUGCAAUAGUCACUAUGACGACGGGUGAUCGCGUUAAGUCCGCGUUAGCUCGCGUUAGUUCGCGUAACGGUGCGAAUCUUAGCGUUAGGUGCGAAUGAGCAUGCUUUUGUAACGCAAAGAGCUAACGCACAACGGCUAUGGAAAAGCGG